rnacentral:rRNA from 1 species
GGGCCCGCACAAGCGGUGGAGCAUGUGGUUUAAUUCGAUGAUACGCGAGGAACCUUACCAAGGCUUAAAUGUAAAACGACCGACUGAGAGAUCAGUCUUUUUUCGAACGGUUUACAAGGUGCUGCAUGGUUGUCGUCAGCUCGUGCCGUGAGGUGUCGGGUUAAGUCCCAUAACGAGCGCAACCCCUAUUUCUAGUUGCCAGCGAGUAAUGUCGGGAACUCUAGAGAGACUGCCGGUGAUAAACCGGAGGAAGGUGUGGAUGACGUCAAGUCAUCAUGCCCCUUACAUCCUGGGCUACACACGUACUACAAUGCUACGGACAAAGGGCAGCAAGUUCGCGAGGACAAGCAAAUCCCAUAAACCGUGGCUCAGUUCAGAUCGUAGGCUGCAACUCGCCUACGUGAAGGAGGAAUCGCUAGUAAUCGCAGGUC